AGUAGCUGCGCCACAGCUGCUGGGAGCUGCAGUUGUACUGGCUGUGCAAGAAACCACCCAUCGAGGUCAGGAGUCACUGGAAAAGUUGUUAGGCCGGUAUUUCUACAUCUCGCCUUUGUCAGCCCUUGCCAAAACCGUGAGGCAGCGAUGUGUUACCUGCUGACAGCAUGAUGCGAGGCAAGGUCCAGCCAUUCCGCCCGGCAUACGAGCUUAUGGAGCAGCCCCCUUUGAAGGUCUAAAGGUGGACUUCACAGAGAUGCCAAAGUGUGGAGGUAUCGGCUCAGACAAGGGGCCUGCGUUUUUGGCUGCCUUGGUACAGAAGACAGCAAAGGUAUUGGGGAUCACACGGAAACUGCAUGCUGCCUCCCAGCCUCAGCGUUCCGGAAAGGUGGAGCGGAUGAAUAGGACUAUCAAAAAUAGUACUAUUGUCUUCCCCCCUGGGUAUUGGAAACAACAACACAAGGAACAAUAUCACACUGUGCGUGUACGCUUGUCGCGAAAUUCAGUGGAAUGUCAUCCUGCGCCUCCCUGGAUAUGACGAACAAUAUCACAGGGUAUGUACAACUUCUGAGAUAUUGGGAGUGAUAUCAUCCUCUCCCCUCUGGAAG